CACCGGUUACCACAGCACCAGUUACCACAGCACCAGUCACCACAGCACCAGUUACCACAGCACCAGUAACCACAGCACCAGUAACCACAGCACCAGUUACCACAGCACCAGUUACCACAGCACCAGUAACCACAGCACCAGUUACCACAGCACCAGUUACCACAGCAGCAAUAACCACAGCACCACUUCUACAGCAACUACCGUAGCGGCUACCAAAACAACUACAAUUUCGACCACCUCCUCCGCCCUCAUCAACCAAAUCAGUCUCAUGUCCGUUGUCGUGGCUGUGCUGACACCUGUACUCUACUCAGGUUGCUGAAGGUGUUAGGUGCAGCUCUCAUCAUGUGCAUGAAUCGAUGAAAAUGGAAGGAUUUGUGUUUAUACACUGUAAGUUUAUAUGCUAAUUGCUUGUUUAACGAUGCUUGUUUGGUGCGCUGGACCUUGUUGGAGGUGUUGAGAAUGAAUCCAAACGCCUGUGAUAACUACAUGUUGUUUUGAUUCAGAGGCCAGUAAGUGAAUCUGUCUAAUAUUAUGAAAUACUAACAUUAUGUAAGUCAUCACAUGAUAACAA